ACUUUUAAAAUCGGUUAUUUCAGAACCGAUUUUGUAUGUAGUAUACAAAAUCGGUUCCAAAAUAACCGAUUUUAAAAGU
rnacentral:miRNA from 1 species